rnacentral:misc_RNA from 1 species
CGCACCUUGCGCUCCUUGGUAUUCCGAGGAGCAUGCCUGUUUGAGUGUCAUUAAAUUCUCAACCUUGACUGCUUUUUUGUUGCUCAAGGCUUGGAUGUGGGGGUUGCGGGCCUUUCAUUGGGUCGGCUCCUCUUAAAUGCAUUAGCGAAAACUCUCGUUGACCGCUGUCAGUGUGAUAAUUAUCAGUACUGCCUCAGUUGACAUUAACAUGGGAGACGUUUGCUUCUAACCCUUUUGGACUUGUCCAAAUCUUUUUGACCAUUUGACCUCAAAUCAGGUAGGACUACCCGCUGAACUUAA